rnacentral:misc_RNA from 1 species
GAUGAAGAACGUAGCGAAAUGCGAUACUUGGUGUGAAUUGCAGAAUCCCGUGAACCAUCCAGUCUUUGAACGCAAGUUGCGCCCGAAGCCAUUAGGCCGAGGGCACGCCUGCCUGGGCGUCACACGUCGUUGCCCCCCCAUCUACUCCUUCGGGAUUGCGGGGGGCGGAUGAUGGCCUCCCGUGCGCCUCGUCGCGCGGUUGGCAUAAAUGCCAAGUCCUCGGCGACGCACGCCACGACAAUCGGUGGUUGCGAAACCUCGGUUGCCCGUCGUGUGCGGUCGUCGCGCAUCGAGGGCUCGAAAAAAUUGCCGGGCUCCGGCUCGGCUUUCAACGCGACCCCAGGUCAGGCGGGGUUACCCGCUGAAUUUAAGCAUAUCAAUAAGCGGAGGA